GACCCAUUAAACACCAAGAGGUUGUUUAGGAGAAGAUUGGCCACAGUGAGGAAAGCAUGUAGACCAAGUCUCUGUGCAGCUAGAAAGGAACUGAAAAUACAAUUUCAGGGAGAUGGAGAGAUGGCUCAGUAGUUAAGAGCACAUUCUGCUCUUGCAGAGGACCUGGGUUCAGUUCUAUUAUCCUCAUGGUGAGUCCCUGAAGAACAUCAUUUAUGUAGAAUGAAAAAAGCCAACCAAACAUAGGGAAUGAGCAUAAAGGCAGACUAUGGGUGGGGAGAACUUGGCACUGCAGUGUGGGAAAGCUGAGUGGCAUGGAAAUCCUGGGCAGUUGGGACUGGAGAACCGAAGACCCUAUCGGUGGACUGGGGAGGCAGUGAUGGGAGAUGAAACACUCUGAAAGCAAUGGCAGCCAGGCUAGUUUCACUGUAUGGAAGCCUCGUGGGGGCUGGGCAUGGGCCAGUGGGGGAAGCACUUGCCAUGCGAGCAUGAGGGCCUCAGUUCAAAUCCCCAGCACCCAUAACAAUCUGGACACCUGGCAUGUGUCUCUAAGUUGGUUUCUCUUGUCGAGAUAAAAUUCUGACCAAAACAAACUUAGGAGGAAAGGGCCUAUUUCACCUCACAAGUUACAGCCCAUCAUGGAGGGGAACCAAAGCAGGAACUCAGAGGCAGGAACUGAAGCAGGGGUUGUGGAGAAUGCUGAUUACUGACUUUCCCAACUACCUUUGUUUUAUAGCUUAGGCCCUCCCCCUGGGGAUGGCACCACCCACAGUGGGCUAGGCCAUUAAUUAGCGGUCCAAAAAAUGCUUCACAGAUGUGCCUACAGGCCGAUGUAUUGGAGGCAAUUCCUCAGUUGAGAUCCCUUCUUCCUAGAUGUCUAGGUUUGUGUUAAGCUGACAAAAACUGGUGAGCAUAUAGGUCAGUUGGCCUGGUACAGUCAAUGGUGAACAAUAAAGAGGGAGACACGGUCUCAAACAAGGCAGGGGUCCAGGAUCCAUACCUGAGGUGGUCCUCGGACCUCCAUGCUGUGUCACCCACACACCCAUGCUCACAAAUAAGCACACAUGAACAGGCACAUACAUACAUCAAACACAAUCAGGCACAUGUACAAAGAUAAAAAAGAAAGGCAUCAUAAGCAAUUAACUCAAGUUUACACAAAACAUAGUCCCAUAAUGCAUUAAUAUCAACUCUCCAUUUAUGUGACCAAGAAGCUGGGCACCUAGCUUGGAGGUUGGCUUAUUUACAGAUUGAAGGCUAGACCACUCUUGUUUCCUUCUGUUUGAGGUAGUGAUGUUUUUUAGCCCAGGCUGGUUUCAAACUUCCUUUGGCCUCAUGAGUGCUGGUAUUACAGGCAGGUACCACUGUGCCUGCUUCAGAAUACCCAUUACUUAAAAACAACAACAACAACAACAACAACAACACCCAAAUAUUUCCCCUCCUGCCUCUCAGAUCUCCUGCAUAAAUCAAGGUGGAUUGGUGGCACCCACAUGGCAGCUCACAACCUUCUUCAACUCCAGUUCCAGGGGAAUCCAAUGCCCUCUUCUGGCCUCACUGGGUACUGCAUGCAUAUGGCAUCAUUAACUCAUGCAAACACACACACACACACACACACACACACACACACACACACAGCAAGAGUAAAACAAUAAUGAUAAGAGACAAAACGAAAAGAUGGAAAGGGGGCUUGUUAUAGAGGCCAGUGGUACAACAUGUGCCCAGCACGCACGAGGCCAGCAAUGUAAAAAACAAACCACAGUGAUAAUAAAGGAAAGAUCUAAAUGAUAAUGGCACAGUGUCUCAAGGAAAAGACAACGGUGGCUCCACCAGACAUGCUAAGUUAGUGCAAGAAUUGCCAGAGGCCUGAGGUGUAGGUGACAUAGGAGUCUGGGCGGGGCAACUUUAUCUGUUACUAAAGCAAGCAGACUUCACCUGUAGAAGGGGCUUAAUAAUAGCGUGAGGGAUUGACCAUUGCCCACCUUCCAUCUGGACUGGGUCCCAGAAAGGUGUGUUGAAGAGCAGAGGAUACUGUUUUAUGGAUGACUCACGUCUCAUCCCAGGAUGUCCCCAGAGCUCAGAAGCCUUUUUCCAUUUUUACCUGUGGCACCCUCACACUCUGACAGCAUCCCCCCUCCCUCUGCCCUGAGCUGCCCCCUCUCUGGGUAGGAUGGGUGUUUGUUGUAGGUAAGCGCCCCCAGGGCUGUACACCCUGCAAGUUGGCCCUUUGUGGGGGCUGAAGGGAAUAGGCCAGUUGUACCACCAGCUGUCUGCACACAAACUGCUUAAUUUCAAAAUCAUGCCACAGACAGAAUGAAAACGCUACACACUCAAACAAAACUGAGUGAAAUGAACAAAGAGAAAAAUCUUUAGCACAGAGCAGAGUGAUAAUGUGUCUGGUGCUGCGAGGAACCCGGGAGCUAUGUACGGGUUCCUUUUCAGUAGUGCUGGGCUCUUUGGAUGAUAAUCCUUCGCACCUGUUUGCCCUCCUCAGAGGAGAAGCGAUAUGUCAAAAGUACCGUCUCCCUUGCUGGUCUGUCCUGAGAAACUGGUCGAGCAUUGGCUGGGGAACGCUGCAACCCUCCCCGCUUAUUUUAACUAGAGGGUGGGAAGAGAGAAUGCAGACUUCCUUGAGGAUGUCAUGGGUGCCUUUCGCCCAUCUCUAGGACUUGCUCCCUCCCACCCAGGGUGUUAGGAUAUUUAGUACACAGUGCCAAGCUGGGGUAUCUUCGGGGGCAUUGAGAUAUCCCACUUCACUAUCAUAUACACUUCAAGACAGAGCUUCAAGUGAAACGGGGAGCCACCCUCCUUUUCCCUGUUGUGGUUUAUCUGUUGUUUGUUCUUUGUCGAUUUCAUUCAUGCAGAUAAUAUAUCUUUAUCAUGGCCACCCCCUCCCUCCAACACCCUCAACACCCUCUCCGUCCCACUUUCACGUUCCCUGUUUAUUGUCCCUGAAUCCCCCUGAGCCCAGUCAGCACUGCCUGCGGGAGGGGCAGCUGAUCUCGCUGGCUUGAUCUUGUUCAGGAAACCACAGCUUCCGGGAGUUGAUGACUGCCACAGCCACGCCAUGUCCAGAACACAGCAUUUCACGGCCCCAUCCCCAUUCUCUGUGCCUUUGUAGAUCAUGUUUUAAAACCUUCCACGUCUGGCGUUGGGAACGCGGCAGCGGCUUGGUGCUGGAUAGCAGGAGGCAAAGAACAACUCUUUAUGUCGCUCAGACUAGCAUAAAACCCACGGACAUCCUACCUCAGCCCAUGGAGUGCUGGGCUCACAGGUGUGGGCCAUCGUGCCAGCCACCCGGAUCUUCUUACUCUGGUCUCUUCAGAGUGGCCCUCUCUGAGCUCCCUCUUAGGACAUCUCCCUCCCCUGCCCCUAGUGUCUGUUCCCACAGAAGGGAAUCAACACCACCCACCAUGCUGCUCAUCCCCACCUCCUCAACAGGGGAUUGCCGGGCUUCUAGAACAUGCCUCACUCUGGGAUGUGUUCCAAGACCAUCAGAUGCCUAGACAAACGGACAAAUGAAGAUACUCACGUGUUGCUGGUGUACAUGCAGUCAGUACGACAAUUCUAGAAAAUUCCAAACCACUGUCUUCCUCGCCCUCAGUUGGUAGGACAUUGCUAAAUGCAGAAAGGUUAAAAAAAAAAGUCAAUUGGAAAACAAAGGACUUGCAAUCUCAUCUGUAGUCUUUGUUUUUGGAUGGAUAUCCUAGCAUGUUUCUCUGAUUGUAUGAAUCACAAUUUCAUUGUUUCUACUUUGCUUAAAAAGUUUUUUUUUUUAAGUAGGUUCUCACUAUGUAGCCUUGGCUGCCCUGGAACUCACUGUGUAGAUUAGGCUAGCUUCAGAAACAAAGUUAUUUAUUUACUUUUAUUUUUAGUGUACGAGGGUUUGUCUAUAUGUACGUAUGUGCACCACAUGUGUGCAGUGCUUGUAGAGGUCAGAAGAGGGCAUCAGGGCACUGGUAACUGGUGUUAUAGACACUUGUGAGCUGCCAUGUGGGUGCUGGGGACUGAAUCCAAGCCCCCUGCAACCAGUAUACUUAACUGCUGAGCUAUUUCUCCAGCUCCCGCAAUUGUCUGUUUGGUUUUUGUUGUUGUUGUUAUAGAACAGAUAUGAAAAACCCUUGGCAGUUAGCAAGUACAUUUCUACAAUAUUGUUUUUACCCAAUGCAGCACUGUCUACUCGCCUACCCCACGAUUGUAUAUGAAAUACAUGUACUCUUCUGUUGUUGGGCAUUGGCUUGUUUCUGGGAGCAGAGAACACAUUGUAUCCAAAUCCUCACAUACAUCCUGGAUGGGUUCCUUUGGAAACAAAAUCUCUGGAUUCUGAUUUUGUUUUUGUUUUUGAAACAGAGUUUCAUUAUGUAGCCCAGGCUAACCUGUGACUCUGCUCCUCCUGCCACAGCCUCUCAAGUGUUGGGGUUCCCAGUGUCCAUCAGCUUGUCCUGCUGGGUCAUGCAUUUAAAGCAGUUUGGUAAUAUUGAUGAAUUAUCCCUGCUCCUGGUUGUCUAGUUCACCCCUCCACCGGUGCGGUAGAGAAACCUCUCUCACUCCUCCACAUUCUGUCUCCAUCACCGCUUCUGUCUUUAUCAACUCGGGGACAGACAAGUUCUCAUUCCUGCUUUAAUUUGCAUGUGUUUGAUUACUAAUAAGGUUGGGCAUCUUUUAUGCAUAUUUAUCAUUUGUAUUUAUUCUUUUGUGAAUUGCUAUUCAUGUCCCCAAUCCAUUUUUUCCUAUUGAAAUAUCUCUUAUUCACGUGUAAGAAAGCUGAGUACAUUAAGGGUAUUCAUCUUUCCGUUACAUGUGUCAAAAAUAUUUUUUUUCUUUGAUUUUGGUUUGCUUUUCAAUCCCAAAAUUAUAUAUUUUUUUCCACAGAGAGACCUUUUACAUUUAUACAAUUCAAAUCUAGCUGUUUUUUCAAAGUGAUAUUUUCUUGCUUAUUCUUUGAAAUUUUUAUACAUGUAUACCUCACUCAGCUGUAGGUGGGCCACCUCCAUCCAGACACCACGAUUUCCUGUCUAGUCCCUGUCUUUUGAAUUCAUGCAGAAAGGACUUCCCCUUUAUAUCUCAUUCAGAGCCUCCAUGUUCCACUUCAGAAUUCAAAUCUUUCAUUCCUACAGUUUUUUUUUUUUUAAACAGGAGAGGCACGAAGGAAGACACGUGUUUUGUUUUCUGAUAGUAGCAGGUUGAAGUCACAUCUUUACCUGUGAACCAUCAUUUUCCCAUGACCAGGGCACACCUUUGUGUCGGGCUGUCAGUGCCUGGCUUUGGACUGUCCCUGUACCGUCCUUCUCAUUUAUAUAGCUUUCUGUGUAUCAAUAUCUGCUUGAAGUCUUAAUCACUUGCCUCAGUUUUUGCCAAAAAAAUGUUUCUUGGAUAUUUCCUCAGUUAUUUUUAUUCAAUGGACUUUGGCGUAAAUGUGGUAAAAUGUCAAGAAAGCUUGAAUAGGGUUUUGCCUGGGAUUGAUAUUAAAGUGGAGAGGUUGGAUGAGCGAGGAUCAGCAUGCCAACAACACGGAACCAAGUUUCACUUUAUUUAGUAAUUCUACAUUUACGUUUCUAAACCACAUGAACAAGGGUUACUGAAUAAACAUUUUAGCCUCAACAUCGUCUGCACUGAUGGACACAUUGGAAUCCAUAAACAGUAACUGAAGAUGGCGCAUUAACUUGAUACAGUUACAACUUAAACUCCCACCAGCCCAAGAGCUUAUCCUGUUAGAAUGCUUGCCAGCCAAACCUGAGAACCUGAGUUUGACCCCUGGGACUCAUGUGGUAUCCUCAGGAGGUACUCAAGAGGCAACCUCCUCCCCCACUGUAUACACACACCACCACCAAUAAUAAUAAUAAUAACAAUAAUAAUAAUAAUAAUAAUAAUAAUACAAUAAAAUUAAAAAAUAUUACACAGCCCUUAAAAAGGUAUCUCCAGCUGUUUACAGAAGUUAAUUUAAUUUGAACAUUCGGUGAAAAAAAAUCAGAGUUUUGGACAAACAGCCUUCCUCUUUCCCUAUGCACACAUCAUCAUGUGAAGUGUUGCCCAACACUCAUCGAAGCAAAAUAGACUGAAAUGUUAAUAAGCAGUUAUCUUCGUGAGAGAGGUUAUUAGGGAUGCUGCUCAGUUUUAAUUUCAGUCUUUCUUUGCUUUGUGGUUUUUGUGUCAUUUGCAAGUGUCGGGUGUCCUAGCUGGAGCAGGAUGGCAAACCUGUGCCUGCAGCCUUGGGAGGGCAGUGGAGUCAGGGUGUCGGCGGCGGAUGCAGUUCCGCGCAUGGCCGGAGGGUGGCAGUGUCCACUCGCAGACUCCGGCUGGUUGCUUGAUGACCUUUGUCAGCCAGCGCAGCCUCUCGUUUAUCACCGAUCACAGAGUGGAAUGAACAUAUUUACUUGUGUUUUGCUUUCCACUUAUAAUAUCUAGUGGCAUGGGAGGGAAAUGAAAACAAUUGUUCAUAGGGGAAAUUUAUGAGCUUCAUCUGGCUGCAUGAUCCCCGCAGUUGCCCCAGCGCCGCCCAGGGAGUGGAGAUGGUUUCUAGCAUCUCCAACCGCCCGACAUCCCCAGAGGUCCUCGUAGGGCCUCGCAGCACUUGUCUCAGGCCGGCAGACUUUCCCACACUCCCCACCCUCUUGAGUUUGCAAGGAGCUCUAUGGAGAGGGGCAGGUGUGUCAUCUUUUCGGGUGGCAAGGUAGUCCUGGCUGCAGGCUGGAUCCCGCCUGAAGCCUGGGCUAGCCUUUGUCUCUUGACAGUGCCCGUAAUUCCUUCUUUUAAUGAGCUGCCGCUGGGGCAGGGCUCUGUUGACCCCCUGGAGCUCCGAGGUCACGACAGGGUAGGAGGGAGUCUCUCCCUCUGAGGUUCCGGGAAAGGGGCAGCUGAGGGGCUUAGUGGUGAUGUGUGCCUUUUAGGAGAGGAUGGGGGAAGACCUGGAGACCUCUACUUCCAGCCUUGCUCAGAGGCUAGCCCCAGUCAGAGAGACAGGAUUCCUCUCCCAUGGAAAGGAGACAUGAAACUCUCUUGUUUUCACCCUCCUUGGGCUGCCGGUUCACAAAACUUGCUGCUGAGAACCUGGAACCAGCUCUGCCCGAGGUACAGGCAAGAACAGGGGCAGAGUUGUCUGUGGUGAGAUCAGUCCCUGACUCCAGCUGUCAGAAUUUCAGCAGGGAGGAUGCCAUGGGGACUGCUGGGCUGUACCAGGGUGAUGUGUAAAGAGUGAAACCUGGGCUAGCCUUAGCACCAGAGUGUGGAAAAGUGAGAUGUGAAAACACAGAAGCACCUACCUGAGCUCACUGCAUGGCAGGGAGCAGGUGCCUGUGAGGCUUCAGGGCUCCACGAGGCACACUGGCUGCUCAUGCGCUGGGGGAUGACAGCUGUAAACUGGUGAAGAAGAUCUCCUGCAGACCAUCCUAGGUCCACUAUACUGUUCUCUCCCUUCCCUCCUCUCCAGCCCCUCCCUCCUCCCAUAUUUCCUUCAUGUCCUUUCUCUAUCUCCUCUUCCUUUUUCCUCUUCUCUCUUCUCCCUCCCCUCCUCUGUCCCCCUCCCCCUUUUAAUUUCUUGCACCUCCCUUAGAAGAUCUCACUCAUCUCACUCCCCCCCCCCCAUUCUCAGACCUGAGGUGGGCCUUCAUGUUCUUGGGCUGGAAUGUGGCCCAAGUGCACAGGCUCUUGCUCAGUGUUUGCGUUUGCAUUGUUCCUGUCUGAGGCUGCUUCAUUCAGUGUCCACCCCCCUUCUCCCCUGCCUGCAAGGGUGUGGCCUGACAAAGUGGUAGCUGACCUGAGAUGCAUCAGGGCACUUUGGAGAGAGUGCCCCUCCCAGGAAGCUCCUCCUGGGCACAUACAUACAGGUGAGCCUUUGGUGCCAUCUGGCCAGCGGGGGUGCUGGACUUGGGGCACUAGCCAAGACUCCCCUGCAGUCCCAGUGCCCUGACUUGGGAUUCUAGGAGGGAGGAGACUGAGUUCACCCAGCACAGAUCUGGUCCCUGGAGCACUGCUCUGGCAGGCAGGGGAGACACAGGCUCCCUCUCUGUCUGCAGUAUUCACGGAGCUCUAGGGACACUUGCACUUGCCCAGGACAGUGGUUUGACAGAGCAGUGUUUCCAACCCACAGCACCCUCCCUCGGCUGUUAAAAUCCACCUUAUUUCCCCAGCAGUCUUAUAAUCGAAUUACUCAAAAUUGCACAGCUUUAUUGCACAAUGCUAAACUUCAGGACAAACAAAUGCCCAGGUAAUGAACAAUUAUUUAUGACAAAUUAUUACCUUUACUUUUAAGACUAGCGGUUUCCAUUAAGCUUAGGAAAGGUGCCAGCUCCUCCCUGCCAGCCCCUCCUCCCUGCCAGCCCCUCCUCCCUGCCAGCCUCUCCCUGUCCCUCUCUGCCAGCCCCUCCCUGGAAAAUGCAGUCUCAUAUGAAAGCACAUGGUUCUGAGGGGCUCUGGAGGGUGCUGUGUUUGAGCACACACAUGCAGCUGUUCCUGUGGGUGUGGAUGGGGAGGGGCAGUUGAAUGGUGGCCAUGCCCCUGUCUCAGUGUGGGGCUGGGAGCUUUCUGUGGGGCUUCUGGUUUUCUUGUCUCUUUUGCACAGAUCAAGACAGAGGCUCUGAAGCCCAGGAAAAAAGCUUCACUCUUCCAUUUGUAUUUAAGUUUUAGCAUUUUUGUCUUGUUUGAAACUAAACUCAACUUUAAAAAUUAUUUAUGGACUCAAUAACAUAUGUUUAGAUUAUUGAACCCCCCCUUUUCCUUGGUUCUCAUGAGCAGAACCAUCUCCCGGCUAAUUAUAACAUACAGUAUUUUCCCAGUAGUCUUACAAUCAAAUUAUUCAAAAUUGCAUUUCUUUAUUGCAUAUUGCUAAAACCCAAGACAAGCAAACAUCAAGAUAAUAAACAAUUAUUUAUUACAAAUUAUUACCUAAUAUAUAAGAUUAACAGCUUGUAACUAUUAAGGUUAAUACAUGUGGUAAACUGUAUUUAUUAUACUUAUUUUGGAGCAAAUAUCUUUGUAUAAAACAUAUGUUUAUGUAUUGCAAUUAAUGAGAAAAAGUGUAAGAUUAACAAUUUAUGUUGGGUUUUGUUUUUAGAUUUAUGCACACUGUAAAACUUAUUUAUUGCACUUAUUAAAAGU